CCUCUCCCCGCAUGCCGCGUGCGCGUCGCGCCAUUUGCGGGGGCGUGGGUAACCCUGCCGUCGAAAGCCUCUCGGCCCAAUCCAAUCGCCCGCACUCCACAACCCUCCCUCCCUCCUCGAUCUCUCUCCCUCAGCCACCACAAACCCUAGGUCCUCCCCUUCUGCCCUGCUAUCCACCGCGCCGCCUCCUCCUCCCCUUCACCAUUCCCUCUAGCGGCAGGCACAGGGAGACGACGGCGGCGCUCGAUUUGAUCCGCCCCGCUCCCCUCCCUCUCCACUAUGCCUCGGCCUCGGCCGCCCCGUGCUCUGCCGGCGCCCGUCGGCCUCGAUCCGGCCUCGGCAGGAGGAGCUCGCCCUCGAGACAGGAGGAGGGGAGCAGCAGGAUACAGGAGCAUGGCCUUCUUCUCGCGCUGCAGCCGCCGGCCUUGUCCUGCUCGAGGAGGAGGAGGAGCAGGAGGGGCGCACCCAGCCACCAAGGUAGCCGUCGUCGAGGGCUUCUUACACCUGAACCUCGAUCUCCACGGUGCUGGCGUCCAGCAACUCGAGUUCAAGGGAAGGAGAGGAUGAUGACGCCCAGACAUGGAGAGGAACAACAGCAGCUCAAGAUGCUAAUGUGGCUGCCAUAUCUGUGCCAAGCAGUGCCUGCUUAUAAUGUGGUGAAGCUACAGGAAAGAGGGAGGAAGCCGGCGACAGGGUGAAGGAGCAGGCCGGCCCUCAUGGAGGCAGCGCUACCAGCCAGCUAGGGAGGCGGUCCGGCUCGCCUCUGCUAUGCCGUGAGCGGCGGCGCUACCUCUGCCUCCAGCCUCACCUCCUCUGCCAACCAUGGGAAAAUUUAGGGGAGACCCAAGGCGAGCUUCCCCUCUGUUGCAUGCACUCCUGAUCUCUAAAGAUUUCUGUAGCCUAAAUGCCUAUGUACCAUGUAAGCAAGCCUAACCUAAUGCACACCAUCAGCUUGAUGAAUUACCAAAUGGUUUGUUUUUGUUGCCAUAUAGACCGUUGACGGGUGUGCAAGAGCCCUUCUAAUUGGUGCUCUAUGUGUGUUUUCUUUUCUUUUGUUGCAGAAUAGUAAUUCAAGCGGAUGGCCAAUGCGCCUUGGUGUUUAGCGGUAUGAUGGUCGGUGAAAGUAUGUUAUAUAUAUAUUGCAAGGAUCGUAAGAUGCUUUUACACAUGAUUGUGUGAUGCUCAGAGACAUUUUGCACAGUAGAAACUUCUUGUGAAGCUUGAUUUUAUUCAGAGCCAUAUGAUUUUUUUAUAGAAACAUGUGCAGAGUAAAAUGGACACAUCUUCUGGUACAUCUGAGCACCGACGACCACAAUGGGAUGGAUCAAACAGCCAAGACGCAGAGUGUGGUCGGGCAGCGCCAUGGGGCAGAUCUGUGCGGCGCAAGGGGCGGCAGAUGCGAAACUGAAGCUUCCCCGAACUUCGGAGCAGUCAAUCGAGCAGAUGGACACGACGCGAACCCAGAAGGGGGAGGCUCCUGAAUAAUUCAUAAGUCAGCAGCUGAAUAAUUGGAAGAAUCAUUUUGUACACACAAGAUAGUACUGACAACAUAAUGCUCAGUCAUUUUUGAAUUAGGUUCAGAUAGAGUGAGGAUUGGUGCUACCGCCCCUGGUAGGAGCCCAAUGUCCUAAUCGAACUACUGUCAUGGAGAGGGCAAUACGUGGAUUCGCUUCAGAUAUUGGAGAUAACGCCAUUGUGCCGAAGCUCGGAACAAUCUUCGAUACAUUAGGUGAAGCAUACGAUUUUUACAAUCUGUAUUUAUGGGAGAAAGGAUUUGGCAUUCGAUAUGGUAAAAGCUGUCUGAAUGUCGAGAGGACGUGGAAAUCUAUUGUGGAUAAUACUGGUCUUGCCGGCGUUAGUGCCCUACUCUGAUAAGGCUGCUGCAGUCUGAACCAUUCAUUGUAUCGCACGUAUGUGCAGACGAACACUGACGAUCGCACAAGCACAUCAACGUGUACAGCAGGGAUUUGAUGAAGAAUUUGAGGCAGAACAAUGUGAACCUUGCUAAAGUGCACAACAUUAGGCAGUUUCCUUGGGUCGAUGGAGAAUGUGCCUUUCACAAAAAGAGCUUCAAGGAGCUUGUGUGGCAAAAUAAGCCGCGAGCAACCGGCUGAUGAUGUUAGUUAAACGAUGGAGGUGUUUGCGGAGCUUGGUUCAAAGGAUCCUCACUUCACAUAUCAUGUGCAGGCCGAUAAGGAGGGAAGGAUAAACGCACUCAUGUGGGCAAAUGGGGACAGUAGGCUGGUGCAAAAAAGACUGUAGCUUAUUCUCAAAUUUUCUGUCUCUAAUACUGAAUUUGGUGUGUACCGAUAAAUCAUGUAGCGUGUGAGAUCCAUCGUGCAGUUUAACUGCUAAUCCCAAUUAUGUUAUGCAUGCCCUGAAGCUGAUGAAUUUGUGUUCUCCUAUACUGAAAUGUCAAAUUGAUUGUGUGUA